AAGUCAGCUGUGAAAGUUUGGGGCUCAACCUUAAAAUUGCAGUUGAUACUGGCGUCCUUGAGUGCGGUUGAGGUGUGCGGAAUUCGUGGUGUAGCGGUGAAAUGCUUAGAUAUCACGAAGAACUCCGAUUGCGAAGGCAGCACACUAAGCCGUAACUGACGUUCAUGCUCGAAAGUGUGGGUAUCAAACAGGAUUAGAUACCCUGGUAGUCCACACGGUAAACGAUGGAUACUCGCUGUUGGCGAUAUACGGUCAGCGGCUUAGCGAAAGCGUUAAGUAUUCCACCUGGGGAGUACGCCCGCAAGGGUCGACGCGGCCG
rnacentral:rRNA from 1 species